CCUGGCUCAGGACGAACGCUGGCGGCGUGCCUAAUACAUGCAAGUAGAACGCUGAAGGAGGAGCUUGCUUCUCUGGAUGAGUUGCGAACGGGUGAGUAACGCGUAGGUAACCUGCCUGGUAGUGGGGGAUAACUAUUGGAAACGAUAGCUAAUACCGCAUAAUAGCAGUUGUUGCAUGAUAACUGUUUGAAAGGUGCAAUUGCACCGCUACCAGAUGGACCUGCGUUGUAUUAGCUAGUUGGUGGGGUAACGGCUCACCAAGGCGACGAUACAUAGCCGACCUGAGAGGGUGAUCGGCCACACUGGGACUGAGACACGGCCCAGACUCCUACGG
rnacentral:rRNA from 1 species